CUUUAAAAGGCAAGCAAACCAGUUGCAUCAGUUUUAAUGCCACAGGGAAGAAACAGACGUUCCGGCCUGAUGGCUCGAUGCUAACAUCUACUGGCGAAAAUUCCGAAAGACAACUUUCAUGUUGUCCUACAAAACAAAGCUGAACCAGCCAGAAUCCGAGAGGCCCCGCACUUGUAUCCCGGUGUGUCCGAGUCCCUCCAGAAGCUCCGACACUCGGUCCACAUUCAGCAGGACCCCCGUCCCACCAGCACUGCAUUGCACAGGGCUUCCGUCGUUGCAGGUGACUGACGCGUUCUCCAGAAAGUUGAGCCUCAUGUCAUGGUCGAGCUUCUGCGCCGAGCACGGAUACAGAGACUGCGCCAGGUUCUUGACUUGAGUCAUGAAGUUAUCCAUGUUCUCCUCCACGGCGGUGAAAUCCAGCGGGAAACUCUCCGUGGUGUCGCCCCGGUUGUUCGCCGACCGAUACGUGGGAGGAGGCGGCGCGCGUCGCGGUUGCGGAUUGCGGCCACCCCGGAACCUCCGCGCGCAAAAGCCGGACAGGGCCUCCAAAGAUCAAAGCAACCAUCCGUCUUUCUCCCCCCCGCCUCCUCUCCCAUCAUCCCUCCUACAUCAGUCUCUCUCCAAACUUUUUUCCUGGAGUUACUGUAUAUUUUAAGACGAGCAGAGCAUCCCUUUUCGACGGGGGCAGCGAACUCCAAACACAAGAACGUCUCGUUACAGGUGCCCCCCCCACCCCCCCAAGCAACCUUUCAUUUUAAGGACAAGUAUUCGGUUCACAAGCCAAGCACGUGUAAAAGCCAAACAUUUUAACCACACAUCAUCAGCUAGAGCUUCUGGGACAUUUUGUGCCAUUUAGGGCUGUGAUGAAUGAAUAUAAGUGAAAUUUACCAUAUCUCAGAGAUUUUUACAAUUAUCUUUUAUUUAACUUAUAUUAAAAUUAUAACAUUUGGUAUUUUCUAAUCCUGGAAAUACUGUACCACCACAUUCACGUGUGUUAAGUAGCGUUAGCUUCUAACACACAGCAGCUGCAAAGCAAGAAGCUAGACUAUAGUUCAUUCAUUCAUUUUCUACCGCUUUUCCUCACGAGGAUCGCGGGGGUGCUGGAGCCUAUCCCAGCUGUCUUUGGGCGAGAGGUGGGGUACACCCUGGACUGGUCGCCAGCCAAUCACACGGCACAUAUAGACAAUCACACUCACAUUCAUACCUAUAGACAAUUUGGAGUCGCUAAUUAACCUAGCAUGUUUUUGGAAUGUUGGAGGAAACCGGAGUACCCGGAGAAAACCCACGCAUGCACGGGAAGACGGGAAGAACACGCAGAGAUGGCCGAGGGUGGAAUUGAACCUUGGUCUCCUAGCUGUGAGGUCUGCGUGCUAACCACUCGACCACCGUGCCUUAGACUAUAGUUAUGCAGCCAUAUUAUUCAACGUAACCAGAAAUCUAUAUAGAUGUCAAUUUUAUGUAUUGACAUGUAAAAAUCACAUGGUGUCUAAAUCAUCAUGAUAGUUAUCUCUGGCAUAUUUUGCUUUAUUUGCCACGAUUUUUAAUUAACUGAAAUAUUGAGCAGUUAUCUUUUGACAUGUUUAUGAUGUAGCAGUGAUUGAACACUGGGGGAAAAAUAGCAUUUCCUUUUCAGGUUGGUUGAAACAUAUCAUGUAGAAUCUUUGAAAUGUGGUAGGAAUUCUAGUCAUGUCAGGUGUAGAAAUUCUCCCCCUCAGGACUCUUAGGGUUUUGAAUAGAUGAUAAGGGAAUCUUAAAGAACCAAAUUAUAGAAUGAGAACCAGAUUGUUUAUUCCUGACAGUAAUGCCUAAUACAGACGUCCGGGCUUAAUAUAAAAUAAUAUAUAAAAUAAGGGAAUCUUAAAGAACUAGUCCCUGUAUUCCUACAAGUAAGCGGGUCUUAUUACAGCGCAGCUGCAAAAAAGCACACUUCCUUUCCCUGCCCGGCCUUUUAUACACUUGAGGCUGGAGUCCUGGACCAAUCAGCUUUCGCCACUGCCCUUGCUUGAACUGCUUUCAUGGUGGUUUUCCUUUCGUUUUUCGCUGUGGCAUCAAGGCAUCUUUUCCUUUGCAGGGGCAUCAAGGCGUCUGGAACAUUGUGCUUUUCCUUUGUUGCAACGCAAGCUGUCAUAUGCGUACUCAAUGUUAUCACCUUAACUGUCAGAUGUCACGUUAGUCCAAUACAAUACGUGCUUAUCUGCCGUCCCUGUAUGCCUACAAGUAAGCGGGUCUUAUUACAGCGCAGCUGCAAAAAAGCACCCGUCCGUUCCCUGCCCGGCCUUUUAUACACUCAAGAUUGUUUACGUGGCUGGAGUCAUGGACCAAUCAGCUUUCGUCUCUGCCCUUCCUUGAACCGCUUUCAUGGUGUUUCUGCUUUUGUUUGUUCGCAGUGGAAUCAAGCUGUCAUAUGCGUACUCGAUGUUUCCACCUUAACUGUCAGUUGUCACGUUAGUCCUUUUUUGUGCGGGUGCGCGUAUAAGUAUCUUUUGUCUGUAUUUGUGAGACUAUGUGUUUGUUUUAGCUUUUAUCUUUAGCUAGCAAAAUUGAGCAAAUACCUUCACAGGAACGGUAUUUGUAAAGCCGCAAAAAAGAAACCCAAAACAUUUUAACUGAUGACGUGGAGGUCUCGUAAUCCAGGUAAGAACGGAGCAGGGUCGUAGGUAUUCACCGGGGAACUUAAAACAGAUGCUUGUAUAGAUUACAGCCAAAGACGGAGAGACUCUGUCACAGAUUGACUCGAGUCACUUUGACCCCGUACCUCUCUUGUUUUUAUCACGCCUCAUCCCCAAAUAUGUAACCCUGUGAAAUCGCUCGCAGAUGGAGGCUGGCUUCUGACAAAUACGCUACCAUGAAGGGAUGCCCCCGGUCUUCUGACCCAACUUUAAAGUCAUCCACGAUGGAGCUGAAGAAAGUUGGAGCAUUUCGAUAAAGGAGUCCCUCUGUGGAAGAAAGUUGGAGCAUUUUGAUAAAGCCAUAAACCAACAACAGGAAAUCCUUUGUGAGUUGCCAACUGUUUUACCCAAAAAGAUUACAUCUCCGAAUUUAAGUGAUGAUCUUCUCGCUGAGAUGCCAUUCUGCCCCGUUUCCCCCCUCUCCGUGAUCCAUUGGAAAUGAUCUGAAGGGCAAAGUAGGAAUAAUGAAGACCAGAAAGCGAAUGGACCAAAAUGACGUUAAAAAGAGAGGAAAAAACUUCAAACAGCAACUCCAUGGACUUUGAUGUUUGUGUCUUUCAUUCGGAAACUGUGUGGCCAUUUCAAACAUUUUUAUGGGUCCUUCAUCUUGUCUUCUCAACACUUUUUUUUCCCUCCGCACGCAAAAACAAUAUCUCAAGCAUGGUCAUGGUUGUUAUGAUGAGCGAAACAACAAAGGACCUCAUGGACGUCUUCAUUACGGUCGUUUUUUUGGUCUUCUUCUGUCAAACAGGUUAAACCAGGAAGUGGUCACAUAACAUCCAUCAGCCCUUUGUUUGAGAUGCUAACGGUUGUUAGCUUCCAACCUGUUGUUUGGCUCCCAGACUAGUUUUUUUUUUUUACCUGGUUGGGCCUGCCCAAGGUGGACCAGUAGUCUACAAGAGGUGUGGAUUUGAGUCAGACUCAAGGCGAGAUUUUGAUGGCUGUGGACUUGACUUGAACUUGAGUCUAGUGACUCGAUACAUACCGUUAUGUCAUUUCUGCCCAGACACCAACAUUUCCCUCAGAAUUUGCCUCAUUUUACGAAUAUCCAAUCAGGUUUAAGAACAGACAAAAAGGGUGUGGUUUACAUUUGUGUGAGAUCUGGAGAUUGGCAGUGGUUAACACUGAUUUGCAUAUGCAAAUUACGUGGUUAUAAUGGUAUUAUAACUUUCAAAAGUGCUUAUCACUUGUAAGGACCUGGAAAUUUCAAGUCAAUGACUUUGGACUUGGGCUGCACGGUGGUCGAGUGGUAAGCGCACAGGCCUCACAGCUAGGAGACCCGAGUUCAAU